GCAUUCUUCUAGUAAAACUGUAUUUUGUUGCAGGGCUUGUGCUGAUUAACACAGCACUAUAUCAUCUCCAUAUAGCUCUCACUGUCUGUCUUUCUUUCCUUCUCUGAAAACGUGAAGAACUCCUUUCUUUGUUCUGCAUUUUAGUUGCUAUUUGAAUUCCACCCCAAACCUCUCCAUUCAAACUAAGGCCUGAGGCAGCAACAUGAACUCAAACAGAGCAAUCCAAUAUCUGAUGCAGGUAUUAACAUAUUUAUUACACAAUAAAGAGUACAACAAUACCAGAAUCAUACUGCAAAGAUUCACAGACUGACAGACCAUAGAAUACAGGCCAAGAAAAAAGAGAAAACAAAACAAACAAAACAAAAAAAUCAAAAGAAGUAAUAAACAAAGAACCACAUCUCUGACACAGUAGACUUGAAGAAAAGCUGAAGAGUAUACUGACAAAGCAAUGAAGGAAGGACCACCUCUCAGUGUCAGUCUACCGUAAAUCUGUGGUUCAUGUUUCAAUGAAGUAUUGCACAAUGACUUUAAUUUAUUUGAGUUUUAUCUUCACAAUAAAUGUUAUCCGGACCCCCUCCCUUCCCUCCACCCGACCCCUGCUCUCAGCACUCUGAGCUCUGAGCAGACCCCUACCCAUGGACCCACUUCCAUGUCUCACUUUGAGAAGGUCCUUUUCAUCUUCCCAGUGAUUCUCUCGUCUCUCAGGCUGGAGAGUGCGCACACAUCUUCCUUGUAGGUAAAAAAAGAGGCAUGCGGAAAUUCACCAGCCUUUUUUUUUAUUUUUAUUUUUAAGUAAUUUUUUUUAAAGAAACCAAAUUUUUUUGUCGUCAUCUAUACCCCCAACGUGAACCUAAAUAACAUUGACAGACGGCCUAGCAUGUUUACACCAGGGAGAGGGUACGUGAGAGAGAGGAGGAGGGGCAGCAGGGAAAGAAGAAAUGAAAGAGGGAAAAAAAAAUCACAUUUCUGAUCUUGGAGCACUGCUGAAACUGAAUAUCAAGGAGGCAACACGUUCCCUACAAUCACUAUAAUGUUUUUCUGUCCUUAAUUUAUUACCUCACAAAAUCAAAACCUUGAUGCCAUCUGUGUGUGCAUGAGUGUGUGUGUGUGUGUGUUUGUGAGAGAGAAAGAGAGAGAAAAAGACAAAACACAAUGUAACAAACGUUUUUUUUUUUUCUCUUUUUGAUAUCAUUUCUAUUCAUUAGAUUUGAUGAGGUCUGCAUUGUUACCAAGUAGUGAUAUGGUUUUGCAGCUGUAUGAGCCUGAACUUUGGGUUUUUUCCUGUUCUUUUUCCGCUCAUUUGGUUUGACUAGACCAGUGUCUGCUCAGCCACUGGCGCUCUUGUCGUGCAGUCAGAGGUAGAGUGCGAUGUUUUUGCCACCGAGGACUUUGGAGCAAAACAGACAAUAGUGAAGAGGAGGAGCAAAGAGCUUAUUUGAAUUUUUUUUUUUUUGAAUGGAGGUCCAUCUACACAGUUCGUAUUCUUUUGUGGUUUGGCCCAGGAUGACCUGGUUCAAUUUGAGUGUGUGACACUGCAUGGUUCAUAUUUUUGAAAUACAACACGCUAGAGUUCAAACAGCUUUGCUGCCAGGCAGCUUCUGAGGAGACGUGUACGGGUGUCAGACACCUUUUUGGAUUCUUCAACCCCACAGAGUCGAAAAAAGAGAGAGAGAAAGAGAAAGAGAAAGAGAGAGGAGGGAGGAGGAGGAGGAACAUCCACCCUUACAUUAAACCUGUAGAGCCAUCCUACCUCCGAGGUCAAAUCUGUAGCACCAUUGUUUUUCUUUUUUUCUUCUUCUUCUUCUUGUUUUCUGUGUGUGUGGGGUGUGUUCUGUCUUCUUGUGUGCGGCUAAGUAAGUGCUCAUUGGGUUCUCCUCGUCCUGCUCCAACCAAUCUAAAAGAGGUUGUUCUGUUUUGUAAAUCCAUUAAUUCUCGUAAGAAAAUGAAAUACGAACUGAUCCUAUCCAUUUCUCCAUGGCUUGGCAUGUUACAUGGUGGAGUAUGCCACAGGCAACAAGUGUGGAUUAAAACUAACCCUGUUCUUUAUGUGAGCCAGUGCACUCAAAUGUUGAGAUACCUUUUUCAAGGAUCCCUUGACCAAGUAGAGGGUGGUGAUGUCACACGGGAGCCAAAGGAAAAACUUAAAGAGGAAAAAUACAAUAUCAGCUUGAGGGGGACACCUCAUUACCAGUGACUAGACAGCAUGGCAUACCACACAGUUAUGCAACCUUUUAGUUAUUAUUGCUCCUAGAAAAAAGCCACUUUGCACUUUGCACAAGAAAUGCAAUGCAUCCUGUAAGCAGGUGUAUCAUAGUCAGUGGCUUAUCCUCCACACGAGCUGAAGAGGUUUGGAGAGUGGGUUCCAUUUAGAGUUUAAAUGAGAAAAAGCUGGCUUCCCCUUGGUGACUGGCUGGCUCAAAAUAAAAAGAAAUGAAAAAAGAGAGAUUAAAAUGAUGAGUUACCAUACAUUUGAACUAAUCUCGUUUGUUUAGAUCGUGGAUAGUCAGGUUUUGGUCCUUCAUGUCUGUCUUUGGCUGUCAUCCAUGGUAAGAUUUCUUUCUUUUUUCUGUAAGACUGUGUGAGACCCGGUGCUCUGCUGUGUUAAAGCUGUCUGUCUACGCUUCUGCAUUUGGAAAUUUAGUUGCUUGUUUUUUUUCUUCCUUUUUCUUCAUUUUUGAUUUUUUUUUUGUUUACUUUUUUCUCUUUUUCUAUAAAAAACAACAUAUAUCUCAGCGUCCAGUAAUGUGCAUGCACUGCCUGUACUGACUCAAAGCAAAGUUAUGUCUUGCUAUUAGGUUCAGAAAUAACAUUACUAAUAAAAGCAGAUCAUGAUACAAUUUGUCCUUUUUACAGAAAGAAAAGUCACAGAUAUGCAAAGCGCUAUAGAGUAAAGUCUGUGAGGAAUGGCUCUCUACUGAAAGAAAAUGGCCAAGAAGCAUGCUGAGAGAACGUUUGUGACAGUGCAAAUACAGUUAUGUACGUCCCUUGUACAAAUCAUCAAAUGUUAGCAUUCCACAUAACAUGCUAAUUCUCAGACCAGAUCUGAAUUUCGAGUGAAAUAGCAGCUCUGAGAGAUAGCGUGUGUUUCCUGUUCCGGGGCGACAGAGAGAAGUGGGUUUUCUCCUUGAGGAACUGCUUGGGAACUAUCACAAACACAUACAAAUGUCAAAGCAGCUCAAGAAAGAGAGUGAUGGGGUUUUUUUCUCCAUAUUUUUUGCACCAGCAAGAGGGA
ensembl:lncRNA